UACGGAGGGUGCAAACGUUGCUCGGAAUCAUUGGGCGUAAAGCGCACGUAGGCGGUCUCGAACGUCAGAUGUGAAAGCCCUCGGCUUAACCAAGGAAGUGCAUUUGAAACUUCGAGACUUGAGUACUGGAGAGGGUCGCAGAAUUCUCGGUGUAGAGGUGAAAUUCGUAGAUAUCGGGAGGAAUACCAGUGGCGAAGGCGGGUCUCUGGGACGGUACUGACGCUGAGACGCGAAAGCGUGGGGAGCGAACAGG
rnacentral:rRNA from 1 species